rnacentral:pre_miRNA from 1 species
GAUGGUGUGACAGAGAAGAGAAAGGAGUUGGGGGGAAAGGGAGGAGUGGCCGGAAGUUGUGGAGUGGAGUUCUGGGAAAGAAGACCAUGGUUUUUCUCGAAGUAAUUUGGGAAAAAAACAUUGGUUCUUUCCUAGUCCUGCCAUUCCUUGAUUUCCUGUCAUGCAUC